GAUGAACGCUGGCGGCGUGCUUAACACAUGCAAGUCGAGCGAAAAGGCGAGGAGUUUGCGCCUCUGACGAUAGCCGCGGAGGGGUGAGUAACACGUGGAUAAUCCACCUAUAUGACGGGGAUAACUUCGGGAAACCGGCUCAAAUACGGGAUGAUAUAUUGAACCGCAUGGUUCAAUAGAGAAUGUCGGUUUUGGUGUCACUUCUAGGUGGAUCCGCGCGGCAUUGGAUUGUUGGUAAGGUAACGGGUUACCAAGGCAACGAUGGGUAUCCGAAUUGAGAGGGUGGUAGGCCACACUGGAACUGAGACGGGGUCCUGAGUCCUGAGAGAGGCAGCAGUCGGGAAUCGUACGCAAUGGUGGAGAGCCUGACGGAGCAGCGCCGCGUGUGAGGUGAAGAUCCUCGGUUCGUGAAGAUCUGCUUUGGGUGGAGAACAAAUGUCUAAGUAGAUGUGCACGUAGUGACGGUACCUGAUCAAGAAGCCCCGGCUAACUACGUG
rnacentral:rRNA from 1 species